GAGAAAUGUCCGGAAGGCUGCCCGCGUCCUCGUGGUCGACGGAGGACACAUCGCUCUGCGGGUCAGUCAUCGUGGACCUCGUUUGUUUUCUCUGCGGGGCGGAUGUUUCAGACUCCUGUUCGGCCUCUGAGCUUUCGAACAGAGUCUCGAGGUUCAGCGGAGCUACCGUCAUCUCCGCGUACUCUUUGGCCUCGUCGACCGUCUGGCGCUUGAGUUUUGUACCGAAGGUACGUUGGGCCCACUGGGCGGCUUUGUCGAAGGAACGGUCAAACCCGUCGCAUCCGAUGCGUUCGAGCUUGUUCCCCUCUUCGGACAACGCUUUCGUGUAGUGGCUAUUCAGAAUAUUAAUAGUGUUCUGAGCCCACUUUUUUGCAUUGUCCUCAAUGAGGGCUUGCGUGGCGGCGUUUGGCAAAGCCGGUUUGAUAACCUCUGAUAGGUAUUUUACAAUCUCGCCGAUCGCAGGAGGCUGCCCUUGGCAUAUAUUGUUCAUGUGAUGUUUCAAUUUUAUGAUCUUGAACGACGUGCGGACCGAGUCGAUGUGAGGGUCCGUAGACUGUUUCGGCUUUUGGUUCUGCCGGUGAUGUGAUUUUUUGUUUUUGGGGUGCGAGCGCACCAUAUACUGAGG
ensembl:lncRNA